CAGCCGUAAAUUAUGCUCGCUAGGUGUCAGGCAUGGCGCGACCGUGUCUGGUGCCGCAGGGAAGCCGUGAAGCGAGCCACCUGGGAAGUACGGCCGCAAGGCUGAAACUUAAAGGAAUUGGCGGGGGAGCACAACAACGGGUGGAGCCUGCGGUUUAAUUGGACUCAACGCCGGACAACUCACCGGGGACGACAGCAAUAUGUAGGCCGGGCUGAAGACCUUGCCUGAAUCGCUGAGAGGAGGUGCAUGGCGUAGACGUCU
rnacentral:rRNA from 1 species